UCUUUUGGACUGAGCUAUUCUGUUGCUUUUGUUGAGCUUAAAAUGAAGCACGGGGUAGCUGUGAUGGCCGUAUUUUCUGCUGGCAGGAGCAAGACUACAUUUUCCUGUGUGCACAGCAAACAAGAUAGAAGUUUUCCUUAUGCUUUUGACAAACUUGAUCCUAGUAUUGUGGGGUAUGAUUGCUUUAAGAUGAUAAAGUCUUAUAUGAGAGGAUAUUCUAUACUUUGCAUCCAUAUCCACCCCUGGUUUUUCUGCAGCAUGCAC